rnacentral:rRNA from 1 species
UGGUGGAGUGAUUUGUCUGGUUAAUUCCGAUAACGAACGAGACCUUAACCUGCUAAAUAGUCACGCCAAGUUUUACUUGAUGUUGACUUCUUAGAGGGACUAUGGAUGUUUAAUUCAUGGAAGUUUGAGGCAAUAACA